AACGAACGCUGGCGGCAGGCCUAACACAUGCAAGUCGAGCGAGGUAGCUAUACCUAGCGGCGGACGGGUGAGUAACGCGUGGGAACGUGCCCUUUGCUUCGGAAUAGCCCCGGGAAACUGGGAGUAAUACCGAAUGUGCCCUUCGGGGGAAAGAUUUAUCGGCAAAGGAUCGGCCCGCGUUGGAUUAGGUAGUUGGUGGGGUAAUGGCCUACCAAGCCGACGAUCCAUAGCUGGUUUGAGAGGAUGAUCAGCCACACUGGGACUGAGACACGGCCCAGACUCCUCCGGGAGGCAGCAGUGGGGAAUCUUAGACAAUGGGCGCAAGCCUGAUCUAGCCAUGCCGCGUGAUCGAUGAAGGCCUUAGGGUUGUAAAGAUCUUUCAGGUGGGAAGAUAAUGACUGUACCACCAGAAGAAGCCCCGGCUAACUCCGUGCCAGCCGCCGCGGUAA
rnacentral:rRNA from 1 species